rnacentral:misc_RNA from 1 species
UACGAACGGUCCGAGCGUUGCGCGGAAUCACUGGGCUUAAAGAGUGCGUAGGCGGAAUAGUCAGUGUCUUGUGAAAGCCCCCGGCUCAACCGGGGAAUUGCAGGGCAUACUGCUAUUCUUGAGGCUGGUAGGCGCUGCCGGAACUGUAGGUGUAGCGGUGAAAUGCGUAGAUAUCUACAGGAACGCCGAUGGUGAAGACGGGCAGCUGGGCCAGUUCUGACGCUGAGGCACGAAAGCGUGGGGAGCGAACAGG